rnacentral:rRNA from 1 species
AGUGAACGCUGGCGGUAGGCCUAACACAUGCAAGUCGAACGGCAGCACAGUAAGAGCUUGCUCUUACGGGUGGCGAGUGGCGGACGGGUGAGGAAUACAUCGGAAUCUACUUUUUCGUGGGGGAUAACGUAGGGAAACUUGCGCUAAUACCGCAUACGACCUACGGGUGAAAGCAGGGGAUCUUCGGACCUUGCGCGAUUGAAUGAGCCGAUGUCGGAUUAGCUAGUUGGCGGGGUAAAGGCCCACCAAGGCGACGAUCCGUAGCUGGCCUGAGAGGAUGAUCAGCCACACUGGAACUGAGACACGGUCCAGACUCCUACGGGAGGCAGCAGUGGGGAAUAUUGGACAAUGGGCGCAAGCCUGAUCCAGCCAUACCGCGUGGGUGAAGAAGGCCUUCGGGUUGUAAAGCCCUUUUGUUGGGAAAGAAAAGCAGCAGGUUAAUACCCCGCUGUUCUGACGGUACCCAAAGAAUAAGCACCGGCUAACUUCGUG